AUUGAACGCUGGCGGCAUGCUUUACACAUGCAAUUCGAAUGGCAGCACGGGAGCAAUCCUGGUUGCGAGUGGCGAACGGGUGAGUAAAGUAUCGGAACGUGGCCAGUCGUGGGGGAUAACGUAGCGAAAGUUAGGCUAAUACCGCAUACGAUCUAUGGAUGAAAGCGGGGGAUCAAUAGACCUCGCGCGAAUGGAGCGAGCGAUAUCAGGUUAGGUAGUUGGUGGGGUAAAGGCGCACCAAGGCGACGAUCUGUAGCUGGUCUGAGUGGACGACCAGCAACACGGGGACUAGGACACGGCCCAGACUCCGACGAGAGGCAGCAGUGGGGAAUUUUGGACAAUGGGCGAAAGACUGAUCAAGCCAUGCCGCGUGCAGGAUGAAGUCCUUCGGAUUGUAAACUGCUUUUGUACGGAACGAAAAGGUUUGGCCUAAUAAGCUGAGCUCAUGACGGUACCGUAAGAAUAAGCACCGGCUAACUACGUGCCAGCAGCCGGUAAUA
rnacentral:rRNA from 1 species